GAGGCGCUGUCCGCGCGCGGCCACCUGACCCGGGGCGCCGUUGUUAUUAGGCCCGGCGAGGCGGGCGGCGCGCGGCAGCAGGGUUGGGCUCGGGCCGGGCUUCGACGGAGGGAGCGAGGGCCGGGUACGCGCGCGCGCCCCCGCGCCCGCACUGUCCUCCGCGGCCGCUCGCUCUGUCGCCUCCCGCCUCCUGCCACGGUCUCGUUCGGCCCCCUCAGCCCUCCCGCCCGCCUCCCUCGCCGGCCCUCAGGUCACGCCGAGCCCUCGUGGUCUUUCCCGGGACACUUCCUAAUGCGUCGCCUUCACAGGGGUCCUGGCUGCAGGUUCCGUUCCUGGGAAGCUGCCUUCCUCACUUGGCCCUUCGCAGGCUCUGUGAUGUCCUGCCAGGCUGCAGCACCGCUGGCCUGAGGCGGGUGAGCGCUCCCACCCGUGAGAGACGGCGGCCACCUCCUGAGCCAUCACUGCCAUCCUCCUGAGCCUUCCUCUGCCCCUCACUCCAGGCCCUUUGUGUAGGCUCCGCAGGCGCCUGCAGCCCUUCCGUCUCUGGACCCCUACCUCGCUAUUUCCCCUUCCCAGAGUCACACAAGGCUCACUCCUCCCUCCAUCCCUGAGGUCUCAGCUCCAGCAACACCCUCUCACUGGGGCCCUCCAGGACCACCGUGAGCUGAAACUCUACCGAGCCCCGCCCCAGGCCUGCUGAAGGCAACACAAGGAGAGGGAGGGGUGGCCAGGCGGGAGCAGGUCAGCCCUGCGCUCACUCCUGAACCUGCCUUGAAGGAGGGGAGGGCCCAGGCCUGCGGAAGUGAGGAGGGAGGAGAAAGCACUCGAAGGCAACUUCAGGGACCUCAGGGGGCACGUUGCGGGUGGGGGAAGAGUGGAAUGAGAGACAGAACUGCAAAGAUCUGCUGGAGCAGAUCACGGGGUCGUGAAAGCCAGGUGAGGAUGUAUGAGCGUUUCCUGUUGGGCAAUAGGGAACCUGAGGGCUGACCUUAAAGGCGUCAAGGUUACAGAUGCCCACAGUCAUGGAGAGCCACCCUGAUGGGCAGGAUCAAAGUCCAGGGCCAGGGACCCGGGCCCAGGAACACGACAGAGGCCUGCCCUGCCCAGCUGCAGGGGCACUGGCCCUAGGUACUGCACAGAGACGCCCUGGAGUUCCCUAACUCAGAUUGCAACAGGGAGGAUGCGGCUCCAGCUGUCUUUAGUGCCAUCCCAGCGCUCCCUGCCUCUAGGCCCGAGGCUUUGAAAGUCCCCAGCCUUCUCCUGAGGGGACUGGGCUGAGGGGGAGUGCACAGGAAACGGAGCCAAGUCACUUUUGACCUUUAGGGCCCUUCCGCCCUCCCUUCAUUUCUUUCCCAUGAGAAGUAGCGCUCUGCUUUGCAAGCUAAUGGUGUUCGUUAACAUUUUUCGUGAGUUUAUUGUGUUAGAUGGAUUAGUUCUGGCCACAGCCAGGGGGUGGCAUGGUUAUUAAUCCCAGAC
rnacentral:lncRNA from 1 species